CAUGAAAAGAUUAUUGGGAUUUGUCAGGCAUAGUAUUUCUCUGAGGAAUAAAUGAAAUAUAAAUUUCACUUUGGAAACUAAUGAGUUAAAACCAUUUACAGUUUCUGUUAACGAGUUAAAUAAUGUAUAGAAUCAUAGUUCGUAAUGGUAGCAAGUUCAUGCUCUGCUGAACUUACUGUUUGAUUAUGGUCAAAUUUUCUAUGUUAUUAUUAUAGUAGAAUUAAGAGUGUGUCCUGGUAAAUUACAUUACCUUCACAGUUUGAGCAUUCUGAUUUUAACAUUUUGUAGUUUCAAAACAAACUGUACUCAUAUAAUCAGAGCAUUAACAGCAGCAUCAUGUCAGUGGUACCAAUAAUUGUGAAUCUUCUGCAACAAAAUUUCUUUAAUGAUGAGUUUAAUGGGCUAUAUUCAAACCUAAUUUUUAUUCAAUUCAUAAGUGCCCACUAAAUAUGUAUUUUAUUUCUGCUGUUCUGUUCCUUUGAUUAUCUGCUUUUCAGUGAGCAUCUGCAUAGCUAAAAUAGAUAUAGCAUGUGUUGUAAAUGCUGUUGAAUUUUUUUAAGGCUCAAAGGUGCUAGUAUAUAAAUAACAGCACAUUGCCAAAUAAGCAUUUUUUCUUUCAUUUUCUGAAGUACUUUCAUAUUUACUCAUGUAAUUAUCAGCAUUUAUGGUGAGUUGGAAUAAUUUUUCCUCUUUAUUUUCUUAAAUGACCCUAGAAAACAAUGUAAAGUAGCUCUGAAGAAGGCUUUGUUGUUGAAUCUGUCUCAUAAUUACUUGUGGAUCCUUUGACACAGAAUUAUUUAUAGUUUAUAAUUCACCCUCAUCUAGAGAAUGAUGAUUUCUAUUACAUAAGUAAUGUAAAUUACUAAGAGAGAAUAUCCUGAGCAGUUCCCAAUGGUGGGUGGCUGGCUAAAAGGAAUCCCUGGAGAUUUUAGUGUGGUAGGAAAGCAUUUUCAUUCUUGAGGAUUUUUCUUUGACUUUUCUAUGGGCUGGCUGAUUUCCUCAGUUUGCUUUGUUCUGGGUUUUAGGGGAGAAUUCUUGGGAGGUUGUGAAUUUUCUUUGCCUACAGUGAGAUGGUUAGAUGCUGAGUUUUUCGUUCUCACUCACUCCCUUGCCAGUUCCUUAGAUGUUAUGAUCCAGCUAUGACCCAGCUUUACACUUUCUUCACCCAGAAGUGACCUCACCUUUUCAUGACAGAGGAAACAGAAGCCAUGGACUUCUUAAUGCUAUAUGUCACAAACCUGUAUGCAUGUAAGAAUCUUUUAUUUCCUCGUAUUCCAGUGUUUUAAACAUCCUGUCACCCAUCAGGGACUUGUCCUUCAUAUGUAUUUCUCCUACACCUUUCCUACUCUGUCAUGCAUUUUGCACUAUUACUGUAUCUCUUUCUUGUAUUUUCAUCUUGUCACCCUGUAUUUAUUUAUUUUCCACCCACUUUUAAACUUAGUUACAUCUUUCAUGGUAAACAGGUUCUAGGGAGAUGGUUUGAUUAUGUAUCUUAAAUUCCCUCCCCUCAAUCUCUGUUUCCAUCUGCCAACUACCCUGUCUUGAAUAGAGCAGCUGCUGUGAGCCUGGAGCCUUUGGGCAAAUAAGAGUGUAUACAGUCCCUUGAUUUUACCAGAAGAUGGGAAAGAGAGCUUGCUUUGAUUUUCUUCCUGUAAUCCAGAUGAAGGUUUAGAGACGGGCAGCUGUGAAGCCUUCAGCAAAGGUCUGAACGGAAAGAACCUUGCUUUCAAAGAUACAUGGAUUUAGAGGAAAAGCGGUGCAGUUCAUAUGUAUGGUACUAGGAAGACUAGCUUCAGAAAAAGACAUUGGAAGAGAUUUUCCUCCUGUCAUCUGUGAUGAGGAGUGGCAACUUGCUGGUUAGUAGAUAAUCAGCCUACAGAAGAGAGCUGCCUUCUAUUGCUCACAAGUUUGUUUCCGCUCAAGAGUAUCCCACAAUUUGAUUUAUGCUAAAUGGGGAGUGAGUGGACAAAGAAGAAUAUCUAAGGAAACCUAAAGAAAAAUAGCAUCUAGAGAGAACAGGAACACAGAAGAAAUGGAUGGUGAAAAAGAAUUGCUGGUGGAGAUGAAUGACAACUUUAAUUUUGAAAAAGCACCUGAGAAAAUUCAGUCAGUAUAAAAUAAACUUUCUAGCAAUUAAACUACAUUAAAAUGUGGUAGAAAAAGAGAGGCAUGGCCACUAUUGGGGACUAAAUAGUGGCCUUGGAUAUCAUGUAGAAGUAGUUAUCUUUGGAAAAGUAAAAAUCCAAAGACACGGAGAUUUCAAAAAUCAAAACACCUAGAAGACGAGUCUAAGAUAUUUAAUGUGAGUAAGUGAAGAACCACAAGGAGAAAAAGGGAAACGAUACAGGAGGGCACAAUUACUAAAUACUAUAGGAAACUUUAGUUCGAAAGGGCUCUCACUCUAAUAGGUUCCAAGCAACAUGGGUGGGGUUGGAGUGUGGGGACACACCUAGGCAGAUAAAUUUCAUUCAAAUAUUUAUUGUUACUUCCUGCAGUGACAAGUACUGUUUUAGUUGCUGGGAAUACAGGGUGAACAAAGCAAUGUUAGUUCCUUUAUUGGGUGGAAGGAAGUAAAUGAAUAAAUAUGUCUCAGGUGGUAAUAAGUAAUACAAAAAAAAAAAUUACAAUGUGUGAGAUACAAAUCAAAAACACUUCUUUUUUUUUUUUUUCCCCUCAGUAACAGGAUGGAGUUUCUGUUUAUACUGUGAUGGGGAGGAUUGUGUAAGGAUCAGAUUUUGCAGUGGUAGCAGCUGGAGGAAUCAAUUUAGUUUCGGAAUGUUGAGUUUGAGAUGCUAUUAAACAUGGAGGAGAUAUUCAAAUUCUUGAAUUUCAGGGUAAAAAGAGGAAUUUACAAAGGAAAAAGAAAAUGACAUCUCUAGACUUUAGAAUGCAACCAAGAAUCCCUUUUUCAGGUAAGAUCAUUCAUCUUGAGGAUAUGUAAUGAUCCAAAUGAUAUAUCUGUAUGUGUAUAACUUCACAUAAGGAAAAUAACUUAAAAACUUUAAACAGACAGCAAAUUAUAACAAAGGCCUGUAUUCUCUGAUAGAGUGACUGGGUAUUUAUAACAUAAGUGUUAAGUAAUCUUCAAGCAGAAAAGAUAAUACAUGGAAAAAUCUCACACUAGUAACUAUCAGUACUAAAGUAAGCUAUCUUAGCAAAACUUAGAAGUGACAGCUGAGCCAGAGGAGUAGAGUGAGUGAAAGCAUUCUAAAUUUCACAACCCUAGUGACAACAAAUGUUUGCCUUCAUGGAAGAACAACAUUUGUUCUUGCAACUAAUCAGAACUUACAUAUUUUUAACAAGUAGCUUUCUAAAAGCCACUAAAGCCCUUUGGAAUAUUUUUUAAAACAACUUCUUUUGAGGUUAUGGAGAUUUUUAAAUAGGUCAGGAAAUUAUUUCUAAGUUGUUAUAUUGUGAAGAUAAAAAAGUUUUGGUAGGUAAUAUGUUUGCAGCCACAAAAGCACAAAAUACAAUGUUUUUAAUAUUCAAGAUGUUUCAAAAUGUUCUUUACGUGGCACAAACUUUUUUCUAAAAGUAUUCACAGACUUCUGGUCAUCUGAUUUUAUAAUUUUCCAUUUUGUGUGGCAUGGUAUGCUGGAUGCGAGGGGAUAAGGCUUCACUGUCAGGUCUUAUUCUCCCCUCACCUUAUAUACAGAUCAGAUGAAGCCAUCUGUACCCAUAUAUUAACUAUUAAUAAAGUUGAAUUUAAAUACAAAUAUGUAUUUUAACAUCUUCUUCUAGCAUCCCACUGAAUUAUCUUGCAUGUUCCCUGAGGUGUGUGUGCCUUACUUUGGAGACCUAUAGUACUAAGUAAAAAUCUUUUUAUACAGUAUUUGUCUUGUGUGGGUCAUGAGCAUUAGCAUCCAAUGGUAGGUGUGUGAUUAAAAUGCAGAUUCCUUGGCCCCGUCCCAAAUUUACUAAAUAGGCCUUUGUGGGUUAUAGCCUUGGGAUCUACAAAUUUAACAAGAUUGAGAAAACCUAAGGCCUAAUUAUCUUUCAGCCUCAUCUAAUCCUUCCCUCCCAAAGACGUGAGCGCCACAUACAUUCUUUUGCAGCCUCUCAACACACCAUUCCUUUUCGCAUCUCCAUACCUCUGUAAAUGUUUCUUUCCCUGCCUGGAAUGUUAUGAACAGCAUAAGGUAUUUGCCAUUGUUAGUAUUAUCCCAUAUGAGAAAAAAAAAUAGACCAGAAUUAAUGCUCUUAAAGCUAAUUGAGCAAAGAUGUGUUUACAUCAAUGUUAUCCAUGUUCUCAUUGAUUUAUGAAAAUCAGAUAUUUAUUUUCCACACAUAUACUACAAAAUCUUGAAAUCUACUUGUAUGGGGAUGAUCACAGAUUGUAUCUGAAGAAAUGAACACACACACAAAUAUAUAUGGAAGACUAAGUAGUCAUAGCAAUAUCUAGUAAGGAGUAAUUAAAAAUUCACUUUUUCCCUCUUCCAUACUUUUAUAACAUCAGCACACCAUUAAAUUAUAGUAAUCACCGCACUGUAAUUCAUCUUCAAAAUAGUGGGGUGUACCAGUUAUCAAUUUGUUAUCUGUGAGCUCUAAGGUACACCUUGCUUUGCAGUGUUGAAACUCGAUGCUUGUACAGGUUUCUCCUUUGUGAGCAGGUUCAGUGUUAGGCUUUUUCAUUGGAGGGACACAGUAAGGCAAUAGCAAGGGGAAUAGGCUUCUCUUUCUGGUUCUGGUGUGCUGUUAUUUGAUUGGCUGCCAGCAGAUUGGCCUGCAGAAGGUCAGUCUCACCUCAACAACCUUCGUAAGGGUGGCCCACACCUUCCUUUCAAGUUUCUCUGCUGCCUGGUAAAAUGUCCCUACAGAACACCUUUGGCCUACCCAGAACCUCCAGUGAUUCUUCUACCGGGUGAGGUGCUCUGAUUCGAUCAGCUCUGGCCUUUCCCCUUGGUAAAUUUCUUCCAUCUACAGCCCAAGUUCCUGUGGCAACUAUGCCCUCUCCAAAGAGUUCUGAGUCUCAGCCCUGGAAUAGUGCUGGGGAGUGACUCAUGAGUUCUUAGUAUUCUUUCUCCCUUUGUUAUUUCCGUACCCGUUAGAAUCUUCUUUAUAACUUUUAGUAAACCAUCUUUUAUUAACAAUUUUCUAUAUUUAAUUUUCUCUAUUCAAAUUACUAGUUUGUGCAGAAUCUAGAUUUUAUAGAAAAAAACAAACAAAUGCCUAGUGAUUUGUUUCUAUCUCCCUCCUGUGUGGUUUCUAUCUCCCUCCUGAUUGGAUCCUGACUGAUACGUUGGGGUAUGCUGCUCAUGAGAGAUUUCUUUCAGAGUGGUGAAUAAACUAUGUCCUAGAAGGCAUAUUGUAUCAGGAAGGGUCACGUGUUAGAGCUGUGGUUUACAUUAAUAUAUACAGUGUUAGGAGGAGCAUAAAGAGGAAAACACCAUUGUGGCAAAGUAAUCCUGUGGAAACCAGAGAGAGAGAGAUUUGAUAAAGUCUUGGUGACUGACCUGAGUACGAAACCAGUGGUGGUGGUAGUGGGAAUCUUUAGAUUAAUGAAUAUUGAUUUAUUCAUAAGCUACAAAAUUCAAAGGGCACCCAGUUUCUCUUUCUAGAGGUAAUUACUAUGUUCAGAUUCCUGGGACCUUUCCAGGUAUCUGAUGUAUAAAUACCUCUCUCUCUUUCCCUCUCUUUCUAACACAGAUAUUAGUAUUCCUCUGUGUCUUACUUUAUCCCCUUAAUAGUAUAUCUUGGAAAUCAUUGUUUUCUUUAAAAAAAUGUUUUAAUUGAGGUAAGCAUUCAUUAUACAGUAAAUGUCUUGUUCCUUUUAACUGGCUGCAUACCCUGUCAACCUAUGGCUGUGCCAACACUGGAGAGAGUCUGGGUUGAGUAUAGUCUUUUUGCCAUUAUAAACAGGGUUGCAGUGAACAUUCAUGUGUAUACUUCUUUGUACCUAUGUAUGAGUGUAUCCUGGAUAAAUUCCUAAAAGUGACGCCACUGGAUUGGAGGUCAUUUUUUUUUAAACUUUUUAUUUUGAAAUAAUUAUAGAUUCAUAAGAAGUUGCAAAAACAGGACAGAGAGGCCCCAGUUGCCCUUCACCUAGUUUCUCCCAAUGAUAGCAUCUUACAUAACAUGAUACAGCAUGGUAUAUCAUAUCAAAACCAGCACAUUGGUACAAUCUACAAACCUUAUUCAGAUUUCACCAGUUUUACAUGCCCUUGUGUGCAUGUGUGUCUGUGUCUUUGUGGUUUUAUGUGCUUUUAUCAGGAGUAGAUUUGUAUAACCUCAAACAAGAUGCAGAACUGUUCUGUCAGCACAAAGAUCCCUUGUGCUACCUCAUAGUCACACCAAACCUCCUCUCCUCCUUUUGUCAUCACGGCAUUCCUAACUGUUGACAAGCAGCUAAUCUGUUCUCCAUCUCUGUAACUUUGUUAUUUUGAGAAUAUAAUUGAAAUCGUAUAGCAUGUAA
rnacentral:lncRNA from 1 species